CUACAGAGGGCCCGAGCGUUAAUCGGAAUCACUGGGCUUAAAGAGUUCGUAGGCGGUCUUGUAAGUAUCUUGUGAAAUCCCACGGCUCAACCGUGGAAUUGCUUGGUAAACUGCAAGACUUGAGUAUGGUAGAGGCUGUCGGAACUCUAGGUGGAGCGGUGAAAUGCGUAGAUAUCUAGAGGAACACCAAAGGCGAAGGCAGACAGCUGGGCCAUUACUGACGCUGAGGAACGAAAGCGUGGGUAGCGAACGGGAUUAGAAACCCCAGUAGUCC
rnacentral:rRNA from 1 species